GACGAACGCUGGCGGCGGGCUUAACACAUGCAAGUCGAACGGAAACGCCCUGCGUUUUUGCUGUGCUCGGGGGGCGAACGCGUGAGGAACAGGUGAGUAACCUACCCUUGACUUUGGUAUAGCUUCACGAAACUGGAGCUAAUACCAGAUAGCAGCUCCUGCUGCAGUGUGGGGAGUGGAACGUUUCAGCUGUUGGGGAUGGACGCGCGGCUUAUCGGCUUGUUGGUUGGGUAGUGGUUGACCAACCCUGUGGCGGGUAGGCGGCAUGUGAGGGUGACCGGGCACCUGGGGACUGAGAUACGGCCCAGAGUGCUAUGGGAGGCAGUAGUGGGGAAUAUUGCCCAAUGGGCGGAAGUGUGAUGAAGAAACGUUGCGUGUGGGAUGACCGUCUGUGGGUUGUAAACCGCUUCCGGUUGUGACGCCGCGUGAGUGACGGUAAUGGGUAAAUAAGCACCGGCUAACUACGUG
rnacentral:rRNA from 1 species